rnacentral:lncRNA from 10 species
GAACCCGCCUCCACUCACUCCUCCUCCGCCUCCAGCGCCACCUCGUAUCUCCUCAUUCCCGACAUGUCCUGGGCUCCGAACGUCUCCUGGGGAGCGGCAUGAUUGAAUCAGGGAUUCCCUAGCCCCAGGUCCCCUUCUCCGUCAUUCUCAGGACGAGGCUGCCCAGUUCUCAGGUGCAGGACAAUAGACAGAACUCAAAGUCAUCCCUCUGCUCACCUGAGACAAAUGUGUAUCUGAUUGCUGCUUCUGCCCUAUUGUUUAUGCAAAAAUGCAGAUCCACUGAGCCAGACUAAGGCAUCAGUGUGACUAUUCCUUUACUCCCCACUCCAUGUAAAUUGUGUAUUCAGUGAAAGGCUGAUCAAAGACCCCAAAAAAUGCAGCCUUUUGUCUCUUAUCUACCUAUGACCUGGAAGCCCCCACUUCGAGUUGUCCCGCCUUUCCAGACUGAACCAGUGUACACCUUACACGUAUUGAUUGAUGUCUCAUGUCUCCCCAAAAUGUAUAAAACCAAGCUGUGCACCGACCACCUUUAGCAUGUGUUGUCAGAACCUCCUGAGGCUGU